AGGCAACUGGUCCCGGGAGUUGGUCGUGGGGGGCUCAUUCUUCACCCUCAACUGCCUCAUCUUCCUCGUCACCUACUUCCUGAUGAAGUGCGAAGGUUCCUAGGAGAAUCACAGGAUGGAGAUCCAAGCCCGAAGAAGAACCUCCAAAGGUCUUUAGCAGGAAUCUUUCCAAGCUGUCUGUGAUGCCAAGGCCCAAUCAAUCAUCCCUGUCCCCUGCCUCAGUUUCCCCAUCUGACAAAUGAUUUUCAUGAUCUUCAUCUUCUAUGUGGGGUGUUGUGAAGCUUAACAUAUUUGCUUUGAAUAGUCUGCAGGUCUCUUCCCUGGUCAUGUGGUUUGGAGCCCUGUGCAGCACCGGGAAUGCAACACAAAAUAUAUUUUAGCCUGCUGUUGUAAUUUUCCAUGUCACAUCACUGCCGUUGGUUCCACUGCUGACGUUGGAGCCGCUUUUAAACUGAAAGAAAGAAAGAAAGAAAGAAAGAAAGAAAGAAAGAAAGAAAGAAAAAAAACUGACCUUUCUUCUCAUUUUCCAGAUCCCAUCUGCCACUCGUUUCCAAGCUGAAUGAAUUCCUGUAAACUCCCCUCCCUUCCUGCUUCAUAAUUAAAGUUUACUCCAACCC